rnacentral:tRNA from 1 species
GCUAACGUAGCUUAAUUAAAGCAUAACACUGAAGAUGUUAAGAUGGGCCCUAGAAAGCCCCGGGGGCAC